AUUCUGACCCUCUGCUAAUCAUCUGAUCCACGCAAUCUAAACUCACCUAUGGAACAAGAGACACCAGCACCAUCCAGCCCCUUUAUUGAUCAUCAUUCUUUGCCAGAGGAAUUGUGUGAAAUGAAUACAGAGUUUUGUGAGAAAGAUGUAACAUACUCACAAGUCAAAAUUUAUGACUCUUCAAAUAUUCAGGAGACGAAAAAAAACAGGAUUUUAAAGAGAAGAGGAUCUCCAUGGUGCAUUGCUGCAGUGAUAUUUGCCUUGCUCUAUUUAAUUGCUCUGAUAAUAGCUUCAAUUAUGAUAGCUAAAGUUUCUUGUCUAGAAGGGAUUCUGAAUACAAAUGAAACCAGUCUGCAAAGAGGGGUUUCAUACUGCGAAAUAAUAUAGCCGAACAGGUAACUGGUCCUUCUCUGAAGAAAAUUGAUAUUUUACUUGUGCUGAAAAUAAAAUCUUGGCAACAAGGAAAAUGUUCUCAAGUACUGAGAUCCAGUCUAAUCAAGACACGUAACAAGGAAGAAUUGGAAAUAUAUGGCAUGAUAUUUCUUUCUAUAUUUUUUUGUGCACAAGAUAAGUAUAGAGAUAUUUUUACAUCUUGAGUUCAUUCAAACAUGCUAAACUCUAUAUAUUAUAAUAUUUGGAGCUUUCUUAACCAAACCCAAAAUAUCAAAAUAUGGGCUUAAAUGAUUAUGUGAGGCUUAAAUUAUAAAUAUAUUUGCAUAGAAAAGUAAAUAUUGAUAUAUUACAAUUUCAGACCUUGGCAAAUGAAGGGGGGAUACCACAUAGAACAUAAAACUAAAGGCAUUCAGUCACAAUUAGCACUUAAGAAAUAUUUAACAUCUAUUGAUUUCUUCUAGUAUUCAUAUACUACUUGAAUAUAUCAUGUAUUAAAGCAUGUACUGCCCCAAUAACCUUAUUAUUGUUGUUGCCAAAUGAUAAAGAAGCAGGCCAAGAGAGGAUAAGAAAUCUUUCCAGAAUUGUCUAGCUAGUAAGAAUUAGAGACAUGAUUUAAGCCAAUAUUGCUUUACUCUAGAGAACAUGCAUCAAACCAUUACACCAUGCUGACCCUAAAAUAAAAAAUCAUAUCACAUCAAGUUGUAAGAAUAUUGCUUCUUUAGAAAUAUACAGAGCUAUAGAUUUACUUUUUUCACCAGGAUAUAUAUUUCAGAGAGGAAUAAAUGAGAAAAAUAACUUCCAAGAAUGAAACACUAUGCUAGUUCUUCAUGAAGAGUAACUUUUUAUACUAAUUAUCUUCUGGAAUAUUAAACAAAAAGAGAUUAAUAGAAGUGAUUUUUUUUCCCUUAGUAGAUUCUAGUGAGCUUUGAAAAUAUGUCUUUGUUUUUUAGUUCUCAUCUACUAUGCGGCUGUUUCCUCUGUAUUGUUUCUACUUUUUCAUUGGAUUCCUGUUCUGUUAAUUGCCUUUAAUAAAGACUUCAUUCC
ensembl:lncRNA